GAUGAAGGAACGCAGCGAAAUGCGAUAAGUAGUGUGAAUUGCAGAAUUCCGUGAAUCAUCGAAUCUUUGAACGCACAUUGCGCCUUCUGGUAUUCCGGAAGGCAUGCCUGUUCGAGAGUCAUUAACAACCGUUUCGAUCCCUUUCUUUCAGAAAUUACAAAGAGGAAAAGGGUUUGGUUAUGGUGGAGGAGGGAAAGGGAGCGUUUAGCCUGUAAAAAAAGAGGCUGUGUUCCGCCUCCCCCCCAAAAUUGUACAGGCGGUCGUGUGCGCCCACGCAUCGAGGUGUUGUAAAAGCUGCCACGGCACUUUUCACCUGUGCAGUGCGAGAUUGGCCAGCCGGUUUAAAAACCCCUCCAAACAAUCAAAGGUUGACCUCGGAUCAGGUAGGGAUACCCGCUGAACUUAAGCAUAUCAAUAAGCGGAGGA
rnacentral:misc_RNA from 1 species